rnacentral:rRNA from 1 species
CACUAAGCGGAGGAAAAGAAACUAACCAGGAUUCCCCUAGUAACGGCGAGUGAAGAGGGAAUAGCCCAGCACCGAAGCCUGCGGUAGGUUUACUGCUAGGCAAUGUGGUGUUUGGGUCGGCUCGCGGGAUUGCCACUCCACUCGAAGUCCAGCACUGAGUAUGGUUCCCUGGAUUUGGCCCAGAGAGGGUGAAAGGCCCGUGCGAGUGGAGGUUCAGACAUGUGAGGCAAUUCACCAGGUCGACCUUCGAGUCGGGUUGUUUGGGAAUGCAGCCCAAAGUGGGUGGUAAACUCCAUCCAAGGCUAAAUACAAGCACGAGUCCGAUAGCGAACAAGUACCGUGAGGGAAAGUUGAAAAGUACUUUGAAGAGAGAGUAAACAGUACGUGAAACCGCAUAGAGGUAAACGGGUGGCGUCAAGCUGCAAGCCUAGAGGAUUCAGUUGGUCGGUGUGUAUGCGCGCCUGGCGCGUCUGUCGGACGGACAGUCCACUGCGAAGUAGUGGGCCUGGUCUUCCCUCGGGAGGGGCAGGAUCGGUGUUCCGGGAGGUUGCCGGAGCCGGCUGUUUUGUCUGUCUGCGCAUAGUGUGGAUGGACCGGCCAAUGCACUUCCUCUAUCUGGUGAGCACCACGACUGGUGGAACUGCCAGUCUGCCGUAGUCAAGUCGGGUUGGGUCGGUGGCUCCUUUUCAGGGGUCGUCGGCUGAGCCUCGAUCAUCACGGGCGAAUUCAGUGAGCGGCGUGUGUAGGCAUUCGCAUGCACACGUGUUAUCGAGCACUGGUCGUCAACGGGUCUGUCUGUCGGUUGGUUUUGUUGUGCAGUCGCCGGCGGAUGUCCUGGUGGGCUACGGUGGUAUGAAUAACUGUGCAGGGCACCAGGGUUGUCGGUCUCUAGGUUCUGGCUCGUGCGCACACUGCAUGUGGGCGUGGGGUGUUGCUGUGGGCUGCCAAUUGCUGGGUCUGAUCGUCGUGUUGCCUGCGCAAAGCGGGUCCGGCGGUGGUCUGGUGUUGGGUGGUCCUACAUGCGGCGCCUCCUGUGCGAGUCGGCGUGGGCCAAACAGUCUGUGGUGUUGUGGUAGACGAGCUACCCGACCCGUCUUGAAACACGGACCAAGGAGUUUAUCAUGCACGCGAGUCAAUGGGUCCCACGAAACCCAAAGGCGCAGUGAAAGUGAAGUCUCGACUUGUUCUCGGGAUGUGGUGAGAUGCCACUGUUUCUCGCACCUCGCCUUGCGCGUGUUCAGCACCAGGCAGAAGAGCAGUGGUCGCAUCACCGGCCCGUCCCAUGAUGUGGUCGUUGGAAAGGCGUGGAUCGUUCUGCGGUCUGCGUUGGAGCCGGCGCGUCAUCGGGGCGGAGCAGGAGCGUGCACGAUAAGACCCGAAAGAUGGUGAACUAUGCUUGCGUAGGUUGAAGCCAGAGGAAACUCUGGUGGAGGACCGCAGCGAUUCUGACGUGCAAAUCGAUCGUCAAACGUGAGUAUAGGGGCGAAAGACUAAUCGAACCAUCUAGUAGCUGGUUCCCUC